GUUCAAAUGAGGAAGGGAUUAUGGUGGAUACCUAGGCACCCAGAGACGAGGAAGGGUGUGGUAAGUGAGGAAAUGCUUUGGGGAAUUGAAAAUGAGCAUGGAUUCAGAGAUUCCUGAAUAGGUUAACCUUCUUAACUGCUUCUUAAUCCAUGGGCAGGCAAGAGACAACCUAGCGAACUAAAACAUCUUAGUAGCCAAAUGAAUAGAAAGAAAAAAUGAUUCCCGUAGUAGCGGCAAGAGAAAUGG
rnacentral:ncRNA from 1 species